UCAUGUCUCCUGCUGACAGUGUCGGCGGUGGCGCUACUUUCUGACCUGUUGAUUCAAAACUUCACAGUACAAGAUGUGUUACGAAAAAUAGUAGUAAAAGUACGAUGUUUCUUACACCGUGAGCACAAGUAAGCAAGUAUGGAACACAAAAAAAACCGUUGGACACUGCUCUUCCACUGUCGUUUCUUGUGUCCCGUCUUUCACUGGGGUUUCGUUCGGCGCUGGAGUCUACGCGGGCGUGUAUAUAUCCCAGAACUAUCAGGUACCACGUGUGGAUGAGCCACAAGAACUAUGGCGAAAGAUAAAGGACUUCGCUGACCAGUACAGAAAGUCGCCCCCCGGUGUCUAGAAUUUCAAUAUUUGUAUAGCUCUGGCUCCAACAUUGCAAUGUGGUGUAUGAAAAGCAUGCUCUGCAGAUGUUGCACAGGCACUUAAGUCUACAGCAAGUGUAAAUACAACCCUGGCCUUUAUUACAGCUAUGUCAUAAAAUGAAUAUUGUAGCAAAUUAAUUUGUUUCAUCAACUUACUUACAUCAUCGUAUUUUGUUAGAAAUGUGGCAUGCAUUUUAUACUGUGGCUGUGUGUAGAAAAAAUUAGUAAUCUGGAAUAAUUAUUUAAAUCUGCUUUUUGAAAUCUGUCUUGCUUUUAAGGUUUCAAUCCAACUGAGCUAGAUUAAAGACACUGAUGUGCUUACAAAUCGUAUUUUGUAGCAUAAACUAUCUUUGAUAAGCAAGAAAAGGGCACGAAAUGAAUCUGAAGGGUGUCACAGGUUUUAGACUAUAAUGCAUCAUGUGUAACAUCAGCAUUUGCUGAUUUACAGAGAUCAGCACAAAUGUAGAUCACAUGGGAACGAUGUCUAAUUCAUCUUGUCACUGGCUAUCCGGAUUGAGGAGCAGCAAUAAUAUGUAUGGUGGCAAUGUUCUACGCAACAUUUACAUAACUGCACACAAUCACGGGUGAUUAUCUACUAGUGCGAUUUGAUUUCCCUUGGAUGUGCCAGAUGACUGGAAUCUGAGCUCUCACCAAAUUUAAGCUGUUCAGAAAUAUUGAGGAGUUAUCGAAUAGGGGCCCCAAAGAAAUAGCAUCGUGGCCACUGCGCAUGCAUUUGGGUUUUGCGUUGGCGACGCUACUUCUCAAAUUUAGUGGGAGCCACAAAGCCUGCCCUAAAGCUUUGUGUCAAAAAAACGUGACUGCACCGACUGAAGUGAUGGCUCUCGGCCAAGACUAGAGUGACUAAGAAUUGGGCAGUGUCAAAAGUGUCGCAGGUCCUAAUUGAAAACUCUUCGCUCCUGCUUGUCCCAGAGUGUGCAUACGCAAAGUGCUUAGGAGCCCCUAUUCAAAAACUCCCUAUUGCUAUUUUUAAAAAGCAGCAUGUGUAUCAACAAAAGACAAGGACACAACUUUACUGUUAUAAGCACUUUAUUAGCAAAACUUGAAAAUUAUACCCAAUUAUUAACUGUGAACAGUGCAUGGUGCCAUAAGGGCUCCCUGUUUUGCAAGAUGCAUGUCUGAUAGGAAACUACAUGAUAUGUACAUAGCACAGCUAUAAUAAAGGCGUACGACAA